rnacentral:rRNA from 1 species
UUGCCAGCCGCCGCGGUAAGACGAACUGUCCUAACGUUGUUCGGAAUCACUGGGCUUAAAGGGCGCGUAGGCGGUCCGAUAAGUCGGGGGUGAAAUCCUGCAGCUUAACUGCAGAAGUGCCUUCGAUACUGUCGGUCUUGAGGGAGAUAGGGGUGUGCGGAACUUCCAGUGGAGCGGUGAAAUGCGUUGAUAUUGGAAGGAACGCCGGAGGCGAAAGCGGCGCACUGGAUCUCUUCUGACGCUGAGGCGCGAAAGCUAGGGGAGCAAACGGGAUUAGAAACCCUUGUAGUCC